GGAAUAACGCCUGGAAACGGGUGCGUAAUGCCGGAUAGGCAACUGGUAGGCAUCUACCGGUUGGGAAAGGUGCAACUGCACCGCAGAUGGAGGAGCCCGCGGCGCAUUAGCUAGUUGGUGGGGUAACGGCCCACCAAGGCGACGAUGCGUAGCCGACCUGAGAGGGUGACCGGCCACACUGGGACUGAGACACGGCCCAGACUCCUACGGGAGGCAGCAGUAGGGAAUCUUCGGCAAUGGGCGAAAGCCUGACCGAGCAACGCCGCGUGAGCGAAGAAGGCCUUCGGGUUGUAAAGCUCAGUCACCCGGGAAGAGCGGGCAGGAGAGGGAAUGCUCCUGUCGAGACGGUACCGGGAGAGGAAGCCCCGGCUAACUACGUG
rnacentral:rRNA from 1 species